GGGGGCAUAGCUCAGAGUUAGAGCACGUGCUUAGCGUACACAGGUUCCUGGGUUUAAUCCCCAGUACCUCCA
rnacentral:tRNA from 1 species